GGGGAUGUUUGGUUUCGACAGGGUUAGGAGUUAGAAAGCUGCGUGCCGAGGCGCCUGGGGACUCGUUAAAACGGGCAAAAAUGUAAGUGGCAACAGCCAGCUUGCAAUGGCCGCUUAAGUCAAACAGACCUCUAAGUAGCCCGUCUGCCUGGACCUUUCCCGAUCAGGUCCAGUGUCAGGCGUCACCAAGAUCAGGGUGCGAUCGACCAGUCCGCCAGUACUCAUCGAUCUAAGACCAACUGGAUUACCGGCCGGGUAGGGUGCUCGCCCUCGACACGGUCGGGAAAUUAAACGACGAGACACGCACGUAGGAUGCUUUCGACGAAUAGCUUUGGACGGGGGUUCGACUCCCCCCAUCUCCACCC
rnacentral:tmRNA from 1 species